AGUGAACGCUGGCGGCGUGCUUAACACAUGCAAGUCGAACGAGAACGGAAUAUAGCUUGCUAUAUUUGUCAGCUAAGUGACGCACGGGUGAGUAAUGUAUAGAUAACCUGCCCUUAAGAAAGGAAUAACAGUUGGAAACGACUGCUAAUGCCCUAUAUGCCUUUAAUACAUAAGUAUGCAAGGGAAACGCUUUAGUGCUUAAGGAUGGGUCUGUAUGGUAUCAGCUUGUUGGUGAGGUAAGGGCUCACCAAGGCUAUGACGCCUAACUGGUUUGAGCGGAUGAUCAGUCACACUGGAACUGAGACACGGUCCAGACUCCUACGGGAGGCAGCAGUGGGGAAUAUUGCACAAUGGACGAAAGUCUGAUGCAGCAACGCCGCGUGGAGGAUGACACAUUUCGGUGCGUAAACUCCUUUUAUAUAGGAAGAUAAUGACGGUACUAUAUGAAUAAGCACCGGCUAACUCCGUGCCAGCCGCCGCGGUAA
rnacentral:rRNA from 1 species